UACGUAGGGGCAAGCGUUGUCCGGAUUUAUUGGGCGUAAAGAGCGUGUAGGCGGCCAGAUAGGUCCGUUGUGAAAACUCGAGGCUCAACCUCGAGACGCCGAUGGAAACCAUUUGGCUAGAGUCCGGAAGAGGAGAGUGGAAUUCCUGGUGUAGCGGUGAAAUGCGCAGAUAUCAGGAAGAACACCUAUGGCGAAGGCAGCACUCUGGGACGGUACUGACGCUGAGACGCGAAAAGCGUGGGGGAGCGAACAGG
rnacentral:rRNA from 1 species